UGGGGAAUAUUGCACAAUGGGCGAAAGCCUGAUGCAGCGACGCCGCGUGAGGGAUGACGGCCUUCGGGUUGUAAACCUCUUUCAGCAGGGAAGAAGCGAAAGUGACGGUACCUGCAGAAGAAGCGCCGGCUAACUACGUGCCAGCAGCCGCGGUAAUACGUAGGGCGCAAGCGUUGUCCGGAAUUAUUGGGCGUAAAGAGCUCGUAGGCGGUUAGUCGCGUCUGCUGUGAAAACUCGAGGCUCAACCUCGGGCUUGCAGUGGGUACGGGCUGACUAGAGUGCGGUAGGGGUGACUGGAAUUCCUGGUGUAGCGGUGGAAUGCGCAGAUAUCAGGAGGAACACCGAUGGCGAAGGCAGGUCACUGGGCCGCAACUGACGCUGAGGAGCGAAAGCAUGGGGAGCGAACAGGAUUAGAUACCCUGGUAGUCCAUGCCGUAAACGUUGGGCACUAGGUGUGGGUCCAUUCCACGGAUUCCGUGCCGCAGCAAACGCAUUAAGUGCCCCGCCUGGGGAGUACGGCCGCAAGGCUAAAACUCAAAUGAAUUG
rnacentral:rRNA from 1 species